AUUUUCAUGUAUUCCUUUUUCCUUUUACAUAUCUAUUAAAUAUAUUCUCCCCCUUUUUGUCAUCGUAUCAAAAAGGAAGUGAGUUGAACACACAAGCAAGUAGAGAUCAAUAUGCACAAUUUUGAAGAAAUUUGUCUACUCAUUGUAUUGAUGUAUAUGUAAGUACAUUUGUGAAUACAAUAAGUAAAGCAGUAAAUACAUGUCAAAGUAAACAUAAUCAGCUAGGGCUUCCUCGAGGAUGUGGCUCCUCC
rnacentral:lncRNA from 1 species